AAUCAACGCUGGCGGCGUGCCUCAGACAUGCAAGUCGAACGAUUAAGACUUCCUUCGGGAAGUGCAUAAAGUGGCGCACGGGUGAGUAACACGUAAGUAAUCUACCCUCGAGUGGGGAAUAACAGUCGGAAACGACUGCUAAUACCGCAUAAUGCAGCGGCACCGCAAGGUGACAGUUGUUAAAGGAGCAAUCCGCUUGAGGAGGAGCUUGCGGCAGAUUAGCUAGUUGGUAAGGUAACGGCUUACCAAGGCUACGAUCUGUAUCCGGUCUAAGAGGACGGUCGGACACACUGACACUGAAUAACGGGUCAGACUCCUACGGGAGGCAGCAGUCGGGAAUUUUGGGCAAUGGGCGAAAGCCUGACCCAGCAACGCCGCGUGAAGGAUGAAGUAUUUCGGUAUGUAAACUUCGAAAGAAUAGGAAGAAUAAAUGACGGUACUAUUUAUAAGCUCCGGCUAGCUACGUGCCAGCCGCCGCGGUAACAC
rnacentral:rRNA from 1 species